rnacentral:rRNA from 1 species
AUAACGACUCUCGGGAACGGAUAUCUCGGGUCU